GACGAACGCUGGCGGCGUGCUUAACACAUGCAAGUCGAACGAAGCUUGAUUACGGAUUCUUCGGAUGAAGUAUGAUAUGACUGAGUGGCGGACGGGUGAGUAACGCGUGAGUAACCUGCCCUUCAGAGGGGGAUAGCGUUUGGAAACGAACGGUAAUACCGCAUAAUGUAUUUUGACCGCAUGAUCGAAAUACCAAAGAUUUAUCGCUGAAGGAUGGACUCGCGUCUGAUUAGGUAGUUGGUGGGGUAACGGCCUACCAAGCCGACGAUCAGUAGCCGGACGGAGAGGUUGAGCGGCCACAUUGGGACUGAGACACGGCCCAGACGCCUACGGGAGGCAGCAGUGGGGAAUAUUGCACAAUGGGCGCAAGCCUGAUGCAGCAACGCCGCGUGAAGGAAGACGGUUUUCGGAUUGUAAACUUCUGUUCUUAGUGAAGAAUAAUGACGGUAGCUAAGGAGAAAGCCACGGCUAACUACGUG
rnacentral:rRNA from 1 species